rnacentral:sRNA from 1 species
UAAUCAAUCGACAACAUCCAAGCCUAC